rnacentral:rRNA from 1 species
AAUAGAUACCCUGGUAGUCCACGCCCUAAACGAUGUCAACUAGCUGUUGGGGCCUUCGGGCCUUAGUAGCGCAGCUAACGCGUGAAGUUGACCGCCUGGGGAAUACGGUCGCAAGAUUAAAACUCAAAGGAAUUGACGGGGACCCGCACAAGCGGUGGAUGAUGUGGAUUAAUUCGAUGCAACGCGAAAAACCUUGCCUACCCUUGACAUGUCUGGAAUCCUGAAGAGAUUUAGGAGUGCUCGCAAGAGAACCGGAACACAGGUGCUGCAUGGCUGUCGUCAGCUCGUGUCGUGAGAUGUUGGGUUAAGUCCCGCAACGAGCGCAACCCUUGUCAUUAGUUGCUACGAAAGGGCACUCUAAUGAGACUGCCGGUGACAAACCGGAGGAAGGUGGGGAUGACGUCAAGUCCUCAUGGCCCUUAUGGGUAGGGCUUCACACGUCAUACAAUGGUCGGGACAGAGGGUCGCCAACCCGCGAGGGGGAGCCAAUCCCAGAAACCCGAUCGUAGUCCGGAUUGCAGU